GCCUGAGAGCACGGCGGGGUGGAGAUGUGGUGCCCGGGCUGGUCCGGCAGCAGCAGCUCGGUCGGACGCUCGUUCCCGCGGCCUGAGCCUCUGCCCCAAGCCACACCUCCCAGAUCCCGCCGCGUCCCCGCCCGGACCCUCUCGCCCCGCCGCAGCCGGCCGCGCAAGCGGGGGCGGGCCUCUGCGCCGUGCGGCCAAUGGGGACAGAGCCUGGGGGCCGGGGCGUGGCGGCCCCGGCACGACGCCCCGAGUGGCGGUUGUUUCAAGAUGGCGGACGUGGCGGGCCCCUCCCGCCCGGGCGCCGCCGCGUUCUGGAGCCGCGACAUUUCUGAUGAAGAACAAUCAGUAGUAUAUGUUCCAGGGAUUUCUACAGAAGGAACUAUCAGAUCAAGACAUAAGUCGACAAGUCCAAAAGCUGAUGUUAAAGUUAAGACUUCUAAGGCAAUGGAUGCUUCAAUCUCUAUGGAGUCUUUAAGAGGUGCAGGAGAUUCAUUAGGUGAACAGAAUUUCUACAAGGGAGGAACAAAGAGUGCAUCAUUGAAGGAUUUAUGUCUUGAAGACAAAAGACGCAUUGCAAACUUGAUUAAAGAGCUGGCCAGAGUAAGUGAAGAAAAAGAAGUUACAGAAGAACGACUGAAAGCUGAGCAAGAAUCAUUUGAGAAGAAGAUCAGGCAGUUGGAAGAACAGAAUGAACUGAUCAUCAAAGAAAGGGAAGCUCUUCAACUACAGUAUAGAGAAUGCCAAGAACUUCUCAGUCUCUAUCAGAAAUACCUGUCAGAACAGCAAGAAAAGCUCACCAUGUCUCUCUCAGAACUUAAUGCUGCUAGGAUGCAGGAACAGCAGUGCUGCAGACCAAUCCAGGGCCUUGGGCAUGCUAGUCAAGUUUCUGCAACUGAGCUAUAUCCAUACCUGUCAACUGUUUCUUAAAUGUUGUGUGAUUCCCUUUCCUGGACCUCUCUUUUAUUUUGCCAGGGUACCAGCAGUGGUUCUGAGGAGAAACUACUUAUCAAGAAACUAAUAUGUAAUCGAUCAUUCCUAUAAAUAAUAUGAUUAAAUAGUUGCAGUCCUGUUAUGAGGAGAUCUCAAAUAUUAGAACCAUCCAUAUAAAGAGCUAGGGGAAGAAUGUCUUGGCAGAGGAAAUAGCCAGGUUCUCUAUCAACUGGAAUAGUCACUUAGAAAUGUAGUAAAAUGAAAAGCUGAAGAGAAAGACAUAGUUCAAAAUAUGAAGUAAACUAAAAUGUGGUAUGAUUCUGAGGAGUUGAAUUUUUAGAAAGGAGAUUUUUUUUUUGGCCUCUAUACUUAGAACACUUUUUCAAGUGUCUGGGCUAGUGACCGCAGGCUGACAUAUUACUUGCUAUGAAUUUAAUCACAUACCCUGUUUCUGCUGUGACAAGUAUUUUCAUAUUUUAUGUUUAUAGACCUGCUUUCAGAAUAAACCUGUAAACAGUUGGAUUGUAUUAUCUAGUCUCUGAAAAGAAUACAAAUGGCAAAACCUUGAUGGUGUGAAAGAAAUGAUGGAGCCGUUAAAAGUCUCAGUCUAAAAGAGGCAAAGAGUGUAAAGUGUUGAAACUAGAAAUAAUUUUGAGAUCAUCUUCUUCAGUGACAAAGAGCCUUUUCCUAAUAUAUAUAUAACUAGCAGUCAAAAUCAUGUGGAUUUUGAGAAGAUAUCCCCUCCCCAGGUGAUCCUGCUAUGCACCUUAGGUGAGAAAUCCUCAUUUCAUCGAGCCUCUUCAUUUUCAGAAGUAGAAACUUAGACCCUGGCAUUUGAAUAGCUGAUUAGUAGCAGAGCGUAUGUUGGCUCUUAGCAUCCCAAAUUUCACAAAGUUCUAGUUUUGAAAAUCUGCGAUCUCUUUACUUUUGCUGCUAUAUGUUGUUUCUGUUGGUCUAGAGUGUUUUCUUGACUUAUUUUGCUAAUUUUAUUAUUUAUCUUCUUUUUUAAAAACUCUUUCAAACAAAAAGUCUAAAACACACUAUCUCCUUCUGAAAAUCAACCCUCCCUGUUUCAGCCUCACCUCUACCCUCAUUUUUAGUAAUACACAGUGUUUUCUUUUCCUGAGCUAAUACUAAUUGGCCUACUUUUGAGUUAGGAGUCUGCUGUGUUCAUACUAAAUUGGUUACCAGUUCACCACCCACCUCCCAACAUCCAGGGUUUUAUUUUUAUCUUUUACUUUCCUUUUUUUUAAAUCCCUGAAUGUCCAUACUUUUUAUAUUCCUUUCUUGUCCUUUUACUGUAAAGUUCACCAAUUUUUAUUGAAGUUCUGAUUUCUUUUUUACAAUUCUCAAACAAACAAAAAACAUUUCAGCUGGCUUCAGUGGCCCAAGCUAAUUGGGAGGAUGGCUGUUUGAGGCCAGUGCAGGCAGAAAGUUUACAAGACUCAUCUCAACCAAUAGUUGGAUUCAUU